rnacentral:rRNA from 1 species
GAUGAACGCUGGCGGCGUGCCUAAUACAUGCAAGUCGAGCGAACGGACGAGAAGCUUGCUUCUCUGAUGUUAGCGACGGACGGGUGAGUAACACGUGGAUAACCUACCUAUAAGACUGGGAUAACUUCGGGAAACCGGAGCUAAUACCGGAUGAUAUUUUGAACCGCAUGGUUCAAAAGUGAAAGACGGUCUUGCUGUCACUUAUAGAUGGAUCCGCGCUGCAUUAGCUAGUUGGUAAGGUAACGGCUUAGCAAGGCAACGAUGCAUAGCCGACCUGAGAGGGUGAUCGGCCACACUGGAACUGAGACACGGUCCAGACUCCUACGGGAGGCAGCAGUAGGGAAUCUUCCGCAAUGGGCGAAAGCCUGACGGAGCAACGCCGCGUGAGUGAUGAAGGUCUUCGGAUCGUAAAACUCUGUUAUUAGGGAAGAACAUAUGUGUAAGUAACUGUGCACAUCUUGACGGUACCUAAUCAGAAAGCCACGGCUAACUACGUG